rnacentral:rRNA from 1 species
CUGCCCCUGACUCUGGGAUAAGCGCUGGAAACGGCGUCUAAUACUGGAUAUGUGACGUGAUCGCAUGGUCUGCGUCUGGAAAGAUUUUUCGGUUGGGGAUGGGCUCGCGGCCUAUCAGCUUGUUGGUGAGGUAAUGGCUCACCAAGGCGUCGACGGGUAGCCGGCCUGAGAGGGUGACCGGCCACACUGGGACUGAGACACGGCCCAGACUCCUACGGGAGGCAGCAGUGGGGAAUAUUGCACAAUGGGCGCAAGCCUGAUGCAGCAACGCCGCGUGAGGGAUGACGGCCUUCGGGUUGUAAACCUCUUUUAGCAGGGAAGAAGCGAAAGUGACGGUACCUGCAGAAAAAGCGCCGGCUAACUACGUGCCAGCAGCCGCGGUAAUACGUAGGGCGCAAGCGUUAUCCGGAAUUAUUGGGCGUAAAGAGCUCGUAGGCGGUUUGUCGCGUCUGCUGUGAAAUCCGGAGGCUCAACCUCCGGCCUGCAGUGGGUACGGGCAGACUAGAGUGCGGUAGGGGAGAUUGGAAUUCCUGGUGUAGCGGUGGAAUGCGCAGAUAUCAGGAGGAACACCGAUGGCGAAGGCAGAUCUCUGGGCCGUAACUGACGCUGAGGAGCGAAAGGGUGGGGAGCAAACAGGCUUAGAUACCCUGGUAGUCCACCCCGUAAACGUUGGGAACUAGUUGUGGGGUCCAUUCCACGG